rnacentral:misc_RNA from 1 species
AGCAGCCGCGGUAAUUCCAGCUCCAAUAGCGUAUAUUAAAGUUGUUGCAGUUAAAAAGCUCGUAGUUGAAUUUCGGGAUUGACACAUCGGUCGUGCCUUAAGGGGUAUGAACUGGUGUAGUCAAUUUCUCACCUUCUGGAGAACCGCGAUGCCCUUAAUUGGGUGCCGCGGGGAACCAGGACCUUUACUUUGAAAAAAUUAGAGUGUUUAAAGCAGGCAUUUUGCUUGAAUACAUUAGCAUGGAAUAAUAAAAUAGGACGGCAUGAUUCUAUUUUGUUGGUUUCUAGGAUCACCGUAAUGAUUAAUAGGGAUAGUUGGGGGCAUUAGUAUUCAAUUGUCAGAGGUGAAAAUUCUUGGACUUUAUUGAAGACUAACUACUGCGAAGGCAUUUGCCAAGGAUGUUUUCAUUAAUCAAGAACGAAAGUUAGGGGAUCGAAGACGAUCAGAUACCGUCGUAGUCUUAACCAUAAACUAUGCCGACUAGGAAUCAGACGAUGUUAAUUUUUAAUGUACUCGUUUG